GCAGGGAGUGGAGCAGGAGGGCGGCUCUUGUCGUGACUUGUCAGAGAGCUCGGAUCCAUCGGUUGGAGCUCAUCUGGGACAUCUGAUGGAGCGGAAUGGCUCUCUAUUAUUGGUCUGGGAGAAGCUCGAAUAUCCCUGAAGCUGCUGACGAGUCUACUGUUGUCAGAUACCUUAGGCGCUGAUACUUCAGGUGGGAGUCACCUGUCGUAGAAGCUCGGAUAGAGACUUUCCAUUGGUGAAGCCCGAUAGGAAUCUGAUUACUAGAGAAGUUCGUCUGGGAUUCGUCCGAUGUGAAAACUUGCCUGAAGAUGAUCCGUUGGGAAAGUUCGAUUUUAUGAAGGAUCUAGUGGAGGGUCGGCCGGUGAUGGACUUCGGAUGGUGUUGGGGAGGUUCGACAGACAUCGGAGGUGAUCGGUCAUUGUAGGAAUCCAGCAACUGGAGUCCGACCAUCGUAGAAGCUCGUCCAAUAUCCAACCACUACGGAAGUUCGGUCGAAGUCUGGUUCUUGUAGAAGGCUGAAAGGAGACCGUCUAUUAUAGAAGCUCGGUCGAAGAUCGAUUGUCGCGGGACCCGACUACGAAGAAGCUCGGCUGAAGUCUACCUGUAAUGGAAGUUCAGAAGG
rnacentral:lncRNA from 1 species